GAAUUACGCCUUAAAAGCUAACCCGCAGCAGUUAA
rnacentral:tRNA from 1 species